rnacentral:rRNA from 1 species
CACGUGGAUAAUUUACCCUCAGGUUGGGGAUAACUCCGGGAAACUGGGGCUAAUACCGAAUAAGAUGGUAGGAACAUAAGUUCCAGCCAUUAAAGGUGGGGACCGCAAGGCCUAUCGCCAGAGGAAAAGUCCGCGGCCCAUCAGCUUGUUGGUAGGGUAAUGGCCUACCAAGGCUACGAUGGGUAGCCGGCCUGAGAGGGUGAACGGCCCCAUUGGGACUGAGACACGGCCCAGACUCCUACGGGAGGCAGCAGUUAAGAAUCUUGCGCAAUGGGCGCAAGCCUGACGCAGCGACGCCGCGUGAAGGAUGAAGGCCUUCGGGUCGUAAACUUCGAUAAGCAGGGAAGAAUAAGUUAUGGCUAAUAUCCAUAGCGAUGACGGUACCUGUCUAAAGCCCCGGCUAACUACGUG